rnacentral:rRNA from 1 species
UACGAAGGGGGCUAGCGUUGCUCGGAAUUACUGGGCGUAAAGGGAGCGUAGGCGGGUCGUCAAGUUGGGGGUGAAAGCCCAGGGCUCAACCUUGGAAUUGCCUUCAAAACUGACGAUCUAGAGUAUGGAAGAGGUAAGUGGAAUUCCGAGUGUAGAGGUGAAAUUCGUAGAUAUUCGGAAGAACACCAGUGGCGAAGGCGACUUACUGGACACAUAUUGACGCUGAGGUGCGAAAGCGUGGGGAGCAAACAGG